rnacentral:lncRNA from 1 species
ACCCUUGUUGAGAGAUUUAUCAUGCUCCCAAGAUCAAGACAUUAUUUCAGUAAGAUUCACUCUUCCGAAGUAUUAUUGCAUUAGAGGCAUGGGCUAUGCAAAAAAUAGAAAUAUUUUCGAGGAAAUAAAAAGGAGCAAGUGCUCGACAACCUCGCAGAAAAAAAUUGACAAGUGUCCGGCAGUAGAAUUAGGGGUACCUCAGUAUCCACUUAAAAAAAAGAGAGAGAGAAAAAAUGAUAGCCCAUGGUCCCUCUAAUAAGCAAUAUGCCAGCAAGAGUUGACAAAGUUUUUAAUUUUCAAAGUCUUUGAUCUAAGAGUAUGACAUUCCCCUCCUCGGAUCCCAUUUUGAUCAGGCAAUAAAUGCAAAGUAAGUAUGCUUGAGAAUUUUUGCAAAAUAAAACAACCUCAGUGAGAUAUAUAUAAAAGAUAAUGAGUGAUCUGAGAGAACCUAUGAGGAUAAAAAAGGUAUGCUAACUUUCUUUCAAAAAUAUACAAAAGCUCCAAGUGACAGGAUUGAGAAGAAAGGAUCUUUACUCUUAACCAUAUACAUCCCUGACUAUGGCACAC